CAUGUAGGCGGAUUAAUAAGUUUGAAGUGAAAUCCUAUAGCUUAACUAUAGAACUGCUUUGAAAACUGUUAAUCUAGAAUGUGGGAGAGGUAGAUGGAAUUUCUGGUGUAGGGGUAAAAGUCCGUAGAGAUCAGAAGGAAUACCGAUUGCGAAGGCGAUCUACUGGAACAUUAUUGACGCUGAGAUGCGAAAGCGUGGGGAGCAAACA
rnacentral:rRNA from 1 species